GCAGGCUCUAUUCUAAAUUCUCAACCUCUUCUAUGCUUUUUCAUUUAUUAGAGUCAUUUGUCUCGGCACACCACUCAAGAUAUGAUUUAUUUUUUUUUAAAGCACUUUAUAUUGAUACCCAGAAUCAAGUUUCCCAAUUCAAUUCACUUUUAAAUCAAAAGCAAUCUUUCCAUUGACUUUUGUAAAUUUUUUAAUCAAUCAACCUUUAACAAAAACCUCAAGCAGCACCAGCUGCACAAGGAAUUAUAUACUGCAAUAAAGAACUGUUGCAUGGUUAUUGCAACAAAUUGGGUAAGACUGAGUUCUUUAGCAUUUGUUUAGCCUGGUAGCCAAAUUUUCAGUGUAGGUAUUUCAAACUCAAUUUAGCAUCAUGGUUCAUUAAAAUAGUGUCGUCAUGUAAAUACAGUUCAGGUGGCGAGGAAAUAAAUUUUAGUUGAUUGAACAGCAUUAUUUGCAUAAUGUUUCUGUUCAAUGGUCCUUCUAAAGGUGAAGCUUAAAUGGAAAGCCUAAAUUUGUUCUUGUAAGAACAUAAAUCAUUGACAUCUACAGUUUUUAAGGAUGCAACCAGAAAUCUGCGGUGGAGGACACAGGAUGAUAAUGCAGGGAGACACGAAGUGGACUGAGGACAGUUGUGCAUGCCCCAGAGGGAGAGCUGCCAGUGAGCAAAAUCUGUUGUUUGACCUUCAGGAGCCUAUGAGAAAGGUAACUUUUUGGCAUACAUCUUCCUUAUAGCCUGUUAGGAAGACUUUGCUUACUGUAGGUGGGCACCUUGGUAAGAAAAGAGUGAAAGAGGAAGCCGGAAGAUGGUUGGCCUUCUUUUGCUAUCUUGCAUCAGGGCCAACUGCUGCAUAACACACCCAGAAGUCAUAUUUGUUGCUGUUGCUAGGCCAUUGUGCUGCUCCUCACCUACUUCAGCAGCCUCCUGAAUCCCAUGCAUUGCAAAAGUUGCUGUUGUCACUUCUAUGCCCCACACAAGACAGCAAAGAGAAUUUGCUACAGCUGCUGUGUGUCCCCAGAAGACAGUUAGUCUCUUCAUACCUCAUGAAAGAGCAUGAGCACAGAAAGACACCUUGCUUAUGUUAAAUGCUUACUGAGGCUUCUCAUGGUUAGUCCUGGAACAGGAGAAAUCCCACAGAGUUAUUUCACUUGCAUCUCACAUGCAUGUCUGUGAUGAACAUGAACGAGAACAGCUGUUUCCUUCAAAACCAGUUCAAGUCUCCAGGGUUACUGAGUCGCUCUGUUACGACUGUCAAAUGAGAAUAUGAAUGAGGGUAUCUUGCAACAAGGGAGACAGCUGGGCCCAUGGGAGUAAGAAAGGCUGCAACAAUUACAACUAAACUUGUUGGACUUACUCUAACUAAACUUGGGCUCAAUAGGGUGCUAUUUCUGGAAUUCGCUGAUUCAAGUUCAGGAGGUAGUUGGAAGUCUCAUGUUGGCAGGAAUGUCAAGGAAAAUCUGUCCCAUUCCCAGUCAGCCCAGCCAGUCUGCCCCAGAUAAUUUGCCUGGUAAAUCCCUGAUUAACUGAGAAUUAGAAGCCCAAACCCAAGCCCGUGAGAGUAGCCAAAGCCCAAGCAGCCCCAGGCCUCCAGCUUGUAUCAUCCGCAAAGAGCCCGGCAUACGGGCUAAUCUCAGUCUAGGCUCCACACCUUUGACUUGCAGAGAAAUUUGGAAAUGUCUUUUAUUUUACAUCACAGUAGCAACAAAUUUCAAAGUAUCAAUGCCUUCUUAUAAGCAAAAUUAUGUUUCCUUAUCCAGAUACAAGUAAAACUUGGGAAUUUGAGACCCUUCUGCCAGAUUUCUUUAAAAACAUUAUCCAUUCCCAAAUCUUGGACAGGCAGGAGGAAACAAAAUGUGCUUUGUAUAUCUGGGCAGGACCAUCUUUUGUGACAAUGUAGAGCAAGAUUAGCAUUUUUCUUUUUACAGAGAUUAUGGAGAACAAACAUGCAAGCACACUUUAAUUAUUUAUUUAUAUAUAUAUGUAUUUAUUAUUUCAUUAUUUAAAAUCCAAAUUUCAGGAUGUUUCUAUUGAGGAAUCCAAAGUUUUUAAUAAUACUCCAGUACAAAAAUAUAGUCCUUAGGAUAAAAACUUCCAUACUACUACCUCCAAAUAAAUAAAAUUACAUCAGACACAUUUAAAUUAUUCAGUAUUAAAAAAAAACAGCAAUUUUUUUAAUCUGAGAGUUGAAGUUAAGUCAGUGCAGUACAGUUAGUCACAAUCCCUUGAGGUGUUAAGUAGUCUGGCGUACUGAUAACUUCAGGAUAGUAAAUACUAGCAAUUAAUCAUCAAUACUCUCCUUCAGAAACAUGCAUCAGCAUUUGCUUAUCUUUAAACAUGUUUAUUUCCUUGAUUUAGAUUUAGGCAUGUUUAGUAGUAAGCAGACAUGAAUAUGUUUUUCUGAGUACAGUAACUUCCUCCUAUUGGUGCUUGUGUCUCCAUGCCAAAUAGAUGAAUGAUAAGACUAAUCUUGUAACAACCCUCUCUCAAGACAGCACCAGAUGGAAAGCUGGGUACCGUAUCAUGUCAUUUCAAGAUUUCCAUAUGGAAACUGGCCUCCAGAACACAUACGAGAACACCAGAAAGUCAGGCAUACAAGAAAUUCAUCCAUGGAUAACAUUUUACUUAGAACAGAACUUCAUGAAAGGAGUCUGCUUGCGAAGACUUUCCAGUUAGAUUCCAAAUUUAAAGUGAAAGAAGAAAUACGCAAGACCUUUGCUUUUUAGUAGUUAAAAAAUGAAGAAGCUACUUCACACCCUAAGAACAUUUCCUCUUCAUCUCCACAGGAAAUAAGUCUGCCUAUAGAAGAGGUACUGUGAGUCAAGUGGAGAUGCACUUUAUUUUAAAGUUGUGUAUCUUCCUUUUUCAAAGGCCUGGACUAACAACUGUGAAGUGCUCUGAACGAACACCCUCUAAUCCUCUUAAGGCAAUGUAAAGAUUGAACUAGCUAGUAAGAACUAUUUUUAAAUGAAAAAGCAAACAAGCAAACAAAAAACCAAACCAAA